CCCCAGUGUGUUUGUGUGGAAAUAUUGAACUUUUUCACCACUUAAAAGGGCAGCGGGGUGGCGCAUUGCAAGUUUAAGGUUUAGCCAUUGGUCUCUUUCUUAUGUCUGGUAUUCAAAAAUAGAAGGUCACGGGUUGUUUUAUACGAGUAUCUUUCAUUUAUUUGUCGUGGGCUACGGCCAAACAGUAGCCUGUGUAGAGUUGGGUUAAUACACCCAACCUUUGUCUGGACAAUUGUUCCUGUAUGACCUAGUCAGGUCAUUACAAUAGUAAUAUGCUCUAAAAAUACCGUAGAAAUAUGUUCUAAAACGCUUGUGACAAACACACUUUGCUGUCCUGUUUUCUAAUCGUCCACAUGGAGAACAUAUUCAAAGAGCUGUGAAAUCCUGUCUACUCAAAGGGGUGCACGUUUUUGCACUGCACAGCUGACACAAAUGAUCAACUCCUCAAGCUUCAAGUGUUACUGUUUAGGGCACUGCAAGGUUGGGUGACCAGGGCCAUCUGGGACUGCCUCCUGGAGGAAUUCAGGUUGUGUGAAGGCUACCUGUGUCCUGCAUAACGUCAUGAGGAUGGACACGAGGACCAGGAUGGGGGAUCUGUGUGCGGGAUUUCUUCACCACAUACUUUUUUGAGGAGGGUGCUGUUCCCUGGCAACACCGUAGACUACACUAUGCACAACCAAAGGCUCUUUUAAGAGCCAUUCACAUUGCAAUAAGAGUAUUCUUCCAUUUACUUCGCUAUGUCAACUGCAGUUAUAUCAGUUUGAUCUCCACCUCUUCAUUCAAAGACUCAAUCAUGGACACUCUUACUGACAGUUGUGGCUGCUCUGCAUGAUGUAUUGUUGUCUCUACCUUCUUACCCUUUGUGCUGUUUGUGCCCAAUAAUGUUUGUGCCCUGUGCUCUUG